AACUCAAGACCAAAGCGCGUACGCUGGAGAAGAACCUCAAGCAAAGACCUUGCUGACAACAUUGCCCUCCAGGUGGCUUUUAAAGCAUAUAAAAAAGUACUUGCAGAAGAAUGUGAAGGGAUAGACACUCGUCUAAAAGGUCUAGAGAACGUUACCGGAUUGAAGCUGUUCUUUAUUUCGGAAGCUAGGACUCAGUGCAGAAUAGCAGAUAACGCUACGCUCAUCCAAGAGAUUUGGUGGGAAAACUUUAGCCCUGCUCCAAACAGG
rnacentral:lncRNA from 1 species